UACGUAGGCAGCGAGCGUUGUUCGGAGUUACUGGGCGUAAAGGGCGCGUAGGUGGCCCGGUCAGUCUUUGGUGAAAGCGCGGGGCUCAACCCUGCGUCGGCCAGGGAUACUGCCGCGGCUCGAGCACUGUAGAGGCAGGCGGAAUUCCGGGUGUAGCGGUGGAAUGCGUAGAGAUCCGGAAGAACACCGGUGGCGAAGGCGGCCUGCUGGGCAGUUUUGCUGACACUGAGGCGCGACAGCGUGGGGAGCAAACAGG
rnacentral:rRNA from 1 species